UACCUACCAUACAACAGGUACGAAAAGGGAAUCAGGUGUGAGUCCUGAGCGAUCCGGUCACUGUAUUCGGAGAGUCUGUUUUCAAAAUCCCAUUGCAUAACCCAAUCAUACAUGUGAGAAGGGGAGGACAGACGUUGGUAUCCGUAAGUCAGGAAACCUGCUUGGUAUAU
rnacentral:ncRNA from 1 species